rnacentral:tRNA from 1 species
GCCCAGUUGAGCCUCGGUGGUCCGGGGUGCAGGCUUCAAACCUGUAGUCGAUUAGCGUCGAAGUGGUUCGAUUCCACCUUCUGGGCG